GGACAAUCGUUCCCCUCUUAAAAAAAAAAACUCUUUCUGUCUCUCGCCGCUUCUCUCUUUUAGAUCUAGGGUUCAGUUUGGCUUGGUCUUCACUGCUGGUCGUGGAUUUGCAAAUCGGAAGCAGAGGUGAGUGCAUCUUCUUCUCCGUCAACGGUGUGGGGUGGUUUCUUUCCCGGUUCGAUGCUGUUGCGGCUCCUUUUUGGUGGCUGAGAGGAUUCGUGGUAGUGGCCUUGAUUUGAGGACGCCAGUGGCCCGCCUGAUUCUUCUCACGGCUCAUCCGACACAACGGCGCUGCGGCAGCGGCGGAAGUCGACAGGAAAGAGGUGGGUUUUCGUUGUUUGUUUGGUUGUUAACUGUAGAUCCUUAGCGAUCUUAGAUGGCUUUCGCGGGUUGUGGCUGUCGGGUGGAUGUUUGAGCCUCCGUCCUCCGGCUGCCACCGUGAUGUUGCUUCAACCGGACCGGAUUGAGGGGGAUUGUGCUCGGAGAACUUGGAUUUCGCCAGAUCUGGAGGUUUGAGGGAUAGAUCUGAGUGUGACGGAUUGCUAGGUUGAGGAUCUGUCAUCGGCGCAGCCGGAGAGUCGGAGAACGGAGCUUCUGGGAGAUUUGUAGCGGAGAUGGUGACUCGUCGGAGAGAGAUUGGCGGCGGAAACCGAACACUUCCACCAAUGAUCCCGAUCCUACCACGUCGUCGCGAAGCCGUGAAUCUUGUGUUCGCCAGUAUUCUGCUCGAGGUCUCUACCUCCGGUGAUUAACCAGGGUCCGAUCUCAUGUUCCGAUGACGGCUAGAGUUUCCGAUUUCUCCAUUUUGUGAAUGUUUUUGAUUUGUAAAGCCCAUGGCUUAUCUGGGCUUGGGCCCAUUUUUAUUAAAAAAAAAAAAAAAAAAAAA
rnacentral:lncRNA from 1 species